UUUGUGUCCCCUGUAUGGACUCCUGUAACGGUCUUCCGCUGUGCUCUGCCCCUGUUUAGGAAAUCCUCUCACAGCUGCCAUGGCAAGCAGCAGGGAUUCGGACGACGAGCAAGUAGUGCCGGAUGAAGAGGAAGAGAGAUCGGAGGUGAAGGCGGUGCAGGCCCACUACCUCCGCAGCCCUUCCCCCAGCCGAUUUUCGAUGAUAUCAGACACUGAUACAGAGAGCAUCUUCAUGGAACCAAUCCAUCUGUCAUCUGCUGUGGCUGCCAAACAAAUAAUCAAUGAAGAACUGAAAACAAAGGAUGUCAAAGUAGAUUCAGUGUGUCCCAGGAUGUUAGAGUCUGCGCAACAGUUGAUGGUGGAAGACCUUUACAACCGAGUUAAGGAAAAGAUUGAUGACACCAGCCUGUUCAACACACCAUGUGUGAUGGACUUGCAGAGGGCACUUGUGAAGGACAGGCUGGAAACCCCCAGGGAUGCUGUGGACGAAGUCUGGCCUAACAUCUUCAUAGCAGAAAAAAGUGUUGCAGUGAACAAAAGCCGUCUGAAGAGGUUGGGGAUCACUCAUGUCUUGAAUGCAGCUCAUGGUACAGGUGUAUACACAGGACCAGGUUUUUACAAUGGUCUGAAUAUCCAAUACCUGGGCAUUGAAGUAGAUGAUUUUCCAGAUAUAGAUAUUUCCAAACACUUCCGUCCAGCUGCUGAGUUUGUGGACGAAGCACUGCUAACUUACAGAGGCAAAAUCCUUGUGAGCAGUGAAAUGGGAAUCAGUCGCUCAGCUGUGCUGGUGGCUGCUUACUUGAUGAUCUACCACCAUAUGACCAUCCUGCAAGCUCUCAUGACUUUGAGAAAGAAGCGUGCCAUUUAUCCCAAUGAUGGCUUUCUGAAACAGUUAAGAGAGCUCAAUGAGCAAUUACUGGAGGAACGAGAGCUGGAGAAUACUGGAGAUGAUGAACUUACUCCCAGUCAAAGUCCUGUUGUCCAUGCAGGGACUUCUUCCCAGCUGUCUGGAUUUGGGGACUCAGAAAGCAUCAUGGGGGCCAAAGCCCACUCUAUCCUGGUAGAAGAAGAGGACACCAGCAGCCUGCUGGGUAGUCUUAUGAGCUCUCCAUCAGUGGGAAAAGCUAGUUGUGUUUCCAAACAUUCCACCCUCAUCAGUGAGGAGGAAGAGGAACAGCUCUAUGAGGAAUGGAGGAAGAAACAAGGCCUGCCUGCAAAGGAACCAGCAAGUAACCACGGAAGGAGAACAUCUCCAAAGCUUCUGGCUCAGGAAGGGGAACAAUCUGAGGAGGAUGUGGAACAGAUAAUCCAUGACUGGCAGCGCAGAAAUGAGAAAUACCAAAUGGAGGAUGGAGACUUCAGCAUGGGAGGAAGACAUUAUGCAUCAGGUGAAUUCAGUGAUGUUGAGAGUGUGAGUAGUCUUGAGAUCCGUGCUCUCAAAGAACAGCUGGAAGCCAGCAGUUGUAAUAGGAUGAGGAGGAGCCGCACAGGCUCUAUUUCUUCUGAGAGCACUUGGGACAUGUGGAACCAGAGACUUAUGGAGAUUGAGAAGGAAGCCACACAGAGGUAUCAUUCUAAGAAUAAAAGUGGUGGGGAGAGCUGGUCCUCCAAAACAGGAAGAAAGGAAAGGGAUGUGGAUGAGGAGAGCAUGUUUUCAGACUGUAGCUCCUUUUACAACUUCUGCCAAAAGAACAAAGACAAGCUUACUCCUCUGGAAAGGUGGAAGGUCAAAAGGAUCCAGUUUGGCUUUCACAAGAAGGAUUUGGAAUCAUCGUCAUCUUCUGCUCCAUCUCCAGCUGAAGAUGGCAGCCAGACUGGUGGAGAGGUGACAGAAGGGAAGAGCUUGUCAGAUAUUAACCUGUCUGCUUACCAGGCUUGGAAAAUGAAGCGUCAGAAAAAGCUGGGCCAUGAAAGCAAGGAUGAAUUUGUAGAGCUUGCCAAAAGUGAGGAUUCUGCUUCAGCCAAAAAGAAGCAGAGGCGAGCAGAGCUCCUGGAACGUUCAAAGAAAAUCUUAGAAGAAAGCCAGUCCAUGUGCAGCUGGGAGACAGACAGUACAAUGAGUGGGAGUAUCCCCCUGUCAGCUUUCUGGCCCUCUGCACCUUCUGCGAGUGGUACUGAAGAUGCAUCUUCUGCCUUGAGCAUGCAGACAAAUCACUCAUCUGUAUCCCAGGCCAGGAGUGCUGCCGGGGCAGUGCGACCUCAGACACCAAGUAUACCCCUCCCUAACCUCCCAGUUGGCCCAGGUGACACAAUAUCCAUGGCAAGCAUUCAGAACUGGAUUGCUAAUGUGGUCAGUGAAACCAUUGCUCAAAAGCAAAAUGAGAUCAUGAUGCUGUCCCGUCCUUCUUCUGCAAUGGCCUCCAGCGUAAUGUCGGGAGACCUUGGCAGGCAUGUAGAUGAUGAUAAAGUUUCCCUUCUCAGUGCUCGGAGUGGCUCGUCCCUUGCUACCUCUCAGUGCCGCCAGCAGGAGAUGCAGAGGGCUGAGUCUCAGUCUGUCCUGUCUUGCAAUACCUCAGUGAGUGCAAGAACAGAAGGGACUAGUUCAAACCUGAAGGUAACACAGACAAGCAAACCACUGUAUAGCCUCUUUGCCGAUGAUGUUGACCUGAAGAAACUCAGGAGGAAGGAGAAGGAGAUGCAAAUGGAAAUGAGAGAGAAAAUGUCAGAUUAUCAGAUUGAAAAGGUGGUCAGUGACAACAAACGCAGUACUUUAUUUAAAAAAAGGGUGGCCAAAGGAGAGGAAAGUGAUAAUGAAGAUGACACAGAGAGCACAUCAGGCAGCCAUAAACACACCUUCCAAGCAGAUCUUGACAGAACUGAUAGAGGAUUUGCUCUUUCCAGUCAAUUUGCAAAUGCGAGUGCACUGAAGUCAGAGGUAGAGACUGACAUUACCAAGUGGCUGAGUGGUCUGAAAGAAAGAGAACCAUCAUAUAAUGAUCAAAGUGAGAAGGCUAGAGAGAAAUAUAGCAGAUCAUCCAGAGUUAGAGAGAUGGAUUCUGAAACAUCCAGUUACAGAUUCUGCAGAUCCCAAAGAGAAGAGCUAAACAGCUCAUCUUCCUAUGAGUCAAAAGGAGAUUCACUGAGAACCAUGUCAAGGUUUUCUUCUGCUUCUGAAAGAGAGGACAAAAAGAUGUAUAAGUUCACGAGGUCUCGGGUCAGUGAAACAAGUUCAGGAGAAAAGAGCCCGGAUCUGUAUGAUUUCAGACGAACACCUGAACCAUCCUUUGCCUCUGAAUCCCCUGAACCGUCUACACAGAGUCGAGCUAGAUGUCAUCAUGUGGAGGAGUGUGAAGAGGAGGCCAGGUCAGACAUGUCAGAAUUUGGAGCUAAAAGAAAGUUCACCCAAAGCUUUUCAAAGUCUGAAGAGGAUGGAAAGAAAGAGGCAAAAGUAGAACAAAGUGAAGAGAGAUUUGCAUCAAGAGAGUUCUCUCAGUACAGGAGACGCAUGCGUAAAGAAGAGGAAGAAGAAGAGAUGGAUGAUGAUGCUAUUAUUGCUGCUUGGAGAAGCAGACUAGAAGAAACUACUGCAAAGCUACGUCGGAGAAAGGAAGAGUGACCAAAGAUCAGAUUAUAGGAACACAAACAGAGUCACAGUCCCAGAAUCACUCAUCAUUAUAUUUCUAACAGUCCUUUGUGGUUUGUAGGACAUUUCCUGCAGAUAUUUCUCUUUUCUUAAUCAAAAGCUGUAAAGGGAGGAGGUCAAGUUUUGGAAGUGUUUGUGGUUUGUGAGAAAGAUGAUGCUACUAUUAAAUGAUCAAUGUAGGUAGGAUUGCAAAGGUAGAAGCCAUUAGGAGCCAGAGGACAUUUCAGCAGCAAGAGCAAGUAAUGGUGGCACACCUCAAUUCAAGAGACCAAUCACAUCCCAUUUUUGGUUAUUUCAAUUUCCUAGCCUUGUUAAAGACUGGACAUAUUUUUUUCCUAGGAUCCUUUUGAUCAUAAAUGGGAGAAGCCAACAACGUUUUCUAGGAACUCGAAGAAUGUUCCUUCCUUAAUCAGUUUUACUUUAUUCCACUGAGAAGAUAUUGCCAGUGUUUUCCCUGAUGGGGCCCCAAGGAUUAUUGCAAACUAGUCCCAAGAAGAAAUGCUGCUCAAUUAGGCGAAAAGAAACUCGGAGGGAAAAAGGGAGUACAGGCAGCAAAUUGCUUGAGAUAACAAUCUCCCCCCACCCGUGUGUCUCUGUAACUAAGAGGAUUAGCUGAACUUUCUGUGUCACACCAAAACUGACAAUAAGCAACAGUGACUUCCCCCUGCUGGCACUUGUACCUUCGCAUGUUUCAUUUUCUUGCCCACACUACGGCCUUGCCCCUUGCUGAUUGUAUGACAAACUUGGGAGUGAACAUGAUGGCUCUUUCCUUUCCGUUAAGGUUUAUGACUCAAAGCCAA